AGCUCCCUCGGCCUGAAAGUGAGAUGAGUGCUACAAUCCUACAGUUGCCUUUGAUUGGACUUAAACGUCCAGGGAUCCUUACCUAUACCAGUCUCAUCCAGGUAAGCUGCAGAAACAAUGGUGAUGGAAGGAAAGCUCUGCAGCUCAGCUCCAUCACACCAGCUGCUACUGCUAGGACAUAUUAAUUAACUGAGCCUGCCAAUACAUGCCAAUUUGUAACUAUAAUUGCAGAGUCCAAUGCUGUUGUAAUUCAUCGCUCCUCUGAAAUUCAGAGCAUCCCUCGUGCUUUCCUGACAGCCAUUAGUUGCAAAUGUGUAAACCCAAUGACAGUUUUGCUUCCUCCAAAGCACUGAACGUGAAUGCUCAGCUCUGAGGCUCUCAAGUUUUGGCUUGUGAAAGGACAACCUCAUCUCUUUUUGCAACACAGUCACAUAGUCAUUGGGAAUAAUGCUCUACUAGAGCUGGGGAGUGAAAUAAAAUGAAAUAAGAAAAAUGAAAUACAUCUGAAAAGCAACAGAUACCAAUGACAAACAGGAGUUAAGAGCACUGUCUUGCCUUGCUUGUGGACUUUCCAAGUGGCCAUUGUAUAUUGAGCCAAAUAUAGGCCAUUGGUCUUUCAGAGCAAGACAAUGAUUUCAUGGCCUAUGUUCUCUGGAAAGGAAAAAGAAGCAUGCGAGAUGAAGUGGUCCUCUGACAGAGCUCAUCAAUAUCCAAAAAUAUUUAUGACUGGAAGAAAGUAGAAGGACAAGUGUACAAAAAAAAUCCUCACAGAAAGGCUGACUUCUCUCUGUUAGAAGGGGUUACUAGACUGCUCCAUUUUUGUUGGUGAAGAGUUUCUGGUCUCCCUUCACUGCUGUUGUUAUUCAGUGAUGAAUGAAAAAGCAUUUGUUUAGAAUCCUGCCAUCUUAUUAUUAGCUCACAUUUUCCAGAAUUUAGACCUGGUAUUGUGGAGUGGAAACCUGCUAGGGCUGGACCCAGGUUCAAAUUGUAAUAUUCUGGAAGAAAUAAGAUGAAAUUGUUAACUCAAAUAAUCUAUUUGUAGUCUCAUUAGAGCUUCUAAAGGCACUGUAUAUCAUCAUGUAAAAUGGAAAGCAAAUCUGAGGACUGUGUAUAUAUCCGUGUGUAUGAUCCCUCAGAUUAGAGCACUGGCCAAAGUAUCUUUCUAAGUUAUAGGAUUAGUAGUUUUCUUUAUUUCUUUUUAUUUUUAUGAGAAUAAAAUUGUUGAGUGUAGAAUUCUUCCUGAUAACCUGGUUUUUCUUUUCUUUUUAAAAACCAGAGACAUUUUUUUGAAAAGUCUUUGUGCCUGGGAGGGGGGGAUGCUUGAAAGUAUGCAGACAAUAUCUAUGCAAGCCUUAGGGUGAUGGCUUUAAGAUAUUCAGUUAUUGGGUCAGUGCAUAGCUCCUGCUUUUUCCAUGUGAUCAGCACAGCCCGAGUAAAAUUGGUAACAAAAAGUCAAAACUGCAGACUAAAUUAUAAUUAGGUAAAUCAUGCAAAUUAGUUCAAUGUGCAUAAUAGUUUAAAAUGUUGACUUUUCUUAUUAUGUGUUAAGGAUUACCUUUGCAUGGAAUGUUAAGGUUUUUAGUUCUGACCACAUACUAGGAUUUUGGUACCCAGUGAAACCAGGCCUGAAGUGCUCCAUAUGCAGCCCAAUUUGGUUCAGUGUCUAUCUGAGUCCGCCUCCAAUUCACUAUUUGGGAAUAAUAAUAAUUAAAAAAUGCUUAUAACUCCCCUGCCUGCUUUUGAUAGAAGUCGGUGGAAUUUGCAAGCAUAGUAGCCCUUCUAAAUUACAGGCAGAUGGGUCCUGAGGCUUUUGAGCUGGAAAUCUUUAAAGUUUGUUGUUGUUUAAAAAGAAAAUAUCUGUAAGCCCUUUUUUAUUUUGUCCCAGAAUUAGAUGAAAUUUGCAGACAAGGCUUUGCCUUCUGAAUGCAUGAAUCUUGCCAAAUAUGAAAUGGAUAAAUGCAGUGUGUUUUUGGGGUGGGGUGGGGGUCUGUAAGGGGCUUUGGAUGUACAAAAAGGGAAUUGCAAUACCCCUCUCAACAUGUGCGGGAUGGAAUUGGUUUGAAAAUUGCCGCUAGGUAAAUUAUUGAAAAGAACAAAAAGGGAUUUGCUUUCCAGGUCAAAUCACUCCCUCUGAUUACAGGCUACUGUCAGUCACAAUGGAACUCCCCUUCCCUUUCCUGACAUGCUCAUUAGGCUUAGAGAAAUAGAUUUUGCUUUUACAAAGGUGCUCCCUCCCACAAGGAACUGGGAUUAGACAGUGCUGGUCAAAUCAUUCCCUUAGAUUUCAAAAUAGACCUGUCAGUCACAAAGGAGCACCCCUGCCCAAUCCUGAUCCUGGAAAGGAAACAUAUAAGGGCAUUUGGCCUGGUCCCCCCCCCCCCAAUCCCCUUGCUCUGUAUAUGGCACUCGAUGAACAAUGCUACUACCAUUUGAGUGUCAAAUUAUUCUUGUCUAUUCUGGCCCUUAAACUUCGUUUAAAAUCCACUUUCCCCCAGGAAAGUUUACUUGGCUUAUAGUGUAGAUUGUUAUUUCCCAGAUUGGUCUUUCCCUUCACUUUCUAACACACAGUGUGUCUGCCUAAGAGGCCAACUAUGACAAAUAUUCCCUGUGCAUCAGACCAGCUAACACAAGUGCUUCAUCUGAAGCCAGCUUGUCAUCUUCUCCCAAAGCAAGCAGACAUAGAAGCAGCAGCAUCAAUCAACAAGAAAGAGGAAAGCUUCCCCCUGGAACACUAGAAGAGCUUCAGCCAACAGAGUUCAUUUUCAUCCUGAC